CUUUUAUAAUGUAUUCGAUUAAUUGUUUAAGAACAUAUUUGACUCCAUUACUGAACGGUAAGUUGCUUAAAGCAGACCCAUAACCUAUGCAACUCUCUCUGGAAGAGCCUAGCACAGUCUUAUAAAUAGUAGCCACUCAAUAUAAUAUUUGUAGAACUUAAUGUUUGUUGAAAGAACACCAGCUGUGUUUUAGUUCUUUAUACCACCACUGAUGAAACUGACUUAUAAUUAAAGCAAAGUAAUAUUUUUGACAUAACUGAAGAUUUUGAUGAAGACAUACUGAGAGUUAAAGUUCUGACAUUAUCACAAAACUAUAGCAAGUGAAGCAAACCUUAUUUGACAAUACAUGUGAACUCUUUGAUAUUAUAAGAUGAUUAAAUAUAAAAUUGAAUACUAGGGGCAAUUGACACAGUAUAUUUCACUCAGUAUCAUGAAUAAGAAACCAAGACUAUGUCAAACAAUAAGCUAUAAAGAUAAGUUAUGUAACUCUUUAACAUAGUAGUAAAUUCUUGCCAACUAACCAGAUAUUUUGCUGCUUGGAACAUUUCCAUGCCUCAGAUUCCUCUUUUAUUCAGAAGAUAUACUUCAGGAAUGUACACUAAGAAGAUCAAUACAGAAUAUAAUUCAGAUAGAAUUAAAUCAAAUGUGGAAAUUGAAGGAACAUUCAAGAGCUGAGAAGUGAGCUGUCUUCCAACUCACCUGCAUAGGUGGAAGUCUUCCCAGAUGCUGUGCUUGAAUCUCUAAUUUGAUAUAUUUACAAGACUUGCAGAGGCUGUGAGCUGUGUGAAUACAUUGCACAUAAGAACUACAGAUGUUUUAAAGCCUUCUGUGAAAGUGAUUCUGAAGGUGUGGUCCCUGGGCCAGCAGCAUCAACAUCACCUGGAACUUGUGAGAAAUGAAGAUUCUCAGGCUCUUCUCUAUACCUACUGAAUCAGACAUUGGGUGCAAAGGGGAACACUACAGUCUGUCUUUAAGGAGCCCUCAAGAUCGCAUCAUCUUCAGAGGCAGAAGUGAUGGCAGUAUAGCACAAUCAAACUAAGCUGGCCAAGAAUAUAUCCUUUACCUAAACCUGAAUCUUUCUACUCCUUAGAGACCAUCCAGUAUUUGAAUUUUGGUUGGGCUAAGAUAUUAAAGAUUCAUUAGUAUCCAAAGAAUUUGGGAAUCAGAAAGAAGCUCAGAACCCAUGUGGUCCAACUCCCCUAUUUUACAAAUUGAUUAUUUAUUCAACUCAUGUUUACUGAGAACCUGUUAUAUGCUGUACAGUGCUGAGGAUACAAAUUCUCAUGCCUUUCAGGAGAUUUUAGUGUAGUAGUAGCAAAUGACAAGAAUAGAGAUGCCUUAGAGCCCUGGCAAUGUGAGGGUUGGGUGGCAGGGGGCUUAAUGGAACACAAUGAAUAGGCAUUCCAUGCACAUUUUGGAGAUUUAGAAAAUGUCUUUGUUAAGUACGGGGAAAGAUACAAAAGAAAUAGAAGAUAGCAACUCAAAAGGAUUAGAAUUAAGGCCCCAGGGAUAAAGGGACUUGAAUUAAAUAUCUAAGAACUAGACUGUUUGAAUCUAACCUUUCCCUCUUCCCAGCUCCUUGACAGAGGCAAAAGGAUGUUGUCAUUAGACCCGCGCAGCAUUUGCCUUACCAAGAGCCUGGCCAGGGCUGUAAGAAUCCGUGUAGCUAGCAUGAAGGAUCAGGCGAGAAGGAAAAACAUAUGCAAGCAAUUUUUGGUGGAUGCUACUGUGGUUUGUGUAGUACAGCCUAUAUGUGUCAUGGAAUUCAAGGAAAUAAAUAGACAAAUGGGCAAGGACAUGUAGUUGGCUCUUUCGGACUACUCAAUACAUUUAUCACCCAUCUAAUUUCUUGUGACGACAGAACCCACCUUCUUGACACAGGGUUGGGCACUUGACCCAAGCAUGGGUAGUCACCGUGUUACCAGAGUCCAGGGUUCUUUCAGUCUCCCGGGAUAGAAAUCAAGAGAGAUCACCAAACAUAGCAGCAAAGAUGAUUUGAAGUUUAUUCCAGCUUGUGCACAAGGUAGCCAGCACUAAGAAAUGACAAAGGAGUAGGCUGCUCCCUGAGAACACUGUGUGGGUUAGUUUUAUAGGGUCUUUGUAUAGAGAAAGGUCACA
rnacentral:lncRNA from 10 species